CAUAGAGAGGUACACAGAAAUUUACAGAGUUCUCACAGUUCUGGUAAAAGCCUGAUCUUUGCGAUCAAUAGUCUCACGAUACUGCCCCUAAUCCUAAGAGUGGAUCCAUCUCUUCCCUCAAGUUUUUCAACAUUGGUAUUAGAGCGGGUUGUGGAAGCGUGGUGGGCUCGUAACCUACCAUUCCCAGGUUCCAUUAUUCAUUUAUUUUAUUUUAUUUAAUUCUUUUUUUUUUUUUUUAAUUCUUACUCAUAACCCACAGGUCUCGGGGGAUCAAAAUCGAUUAUUUGGUUUCCUGUAAGUUUGUAUUUUAUUGAACAAUAUCUGUCGUAAUUUUUUUUUUUAUCAAUUCUCUAUUUACUCUGAGAAAGUUGAUUUCAU
rnacentral:lncRNA from 1 species